CAUGCAAGUCGAACGGUGAACCCGCUUCGGUGGGGGAUCAGUGGCGAACGGGUGAGUAACACGUGGGCAACCUGCCCUCAGCUCUGGGAUAACUCCAAGAAAUUGGGGCUAAUACUGGAUAUGACCGCUGACCGCAUGGUCUGGUGGUGGAAAGAUUUAUCGGCUGGGGAUGGGCCCGCGGCCUAUCAGCUUGUUGGUGGGGUAGUGGCCUACCAAGGCGACGACGGGUAGCCGGCCUGAGAGGGUGACCGGCCACACUGGGACUGAGACACGGCCCAGACUCCUACGGGAGGCAGCAGUGGGGAAUAUUGCGCAAUGGGCGAAAGCCUGACGCAGCGACGCCGCGUGGGGGAUGACGGCCUUCGGGUUGUAAACCUCUUUCAGCAGGGACGAAGCGAAAGUGACGGUACCUGCAGAAGAAGCACCGGCCAACUACGUGCCAGCAGCCGCGGUAAUACGUAGGGUGCAAGCGUUGUCCGGAAUUAUUGGGCGUAAAGAGCUCGUAGGCGGUUUGUUGCGUCGGCUGUGAAAACCUGAGGCUCAACCUCAGGCCUGCAGUCGAUACGAGCAGACUAGAGUGUUGCAGGGGAGACUGGAAUUCCUGGUGUAGCGGUGAAAUGCGCAGAUAUCAGGAGGAACACCGGUGGCGAAGGCGGGUCUCUGGGCAACAACUGACGCUGAGGAGCGAAAGCGUGGGGAGCGAACAGGAUUAGAUACCCUGGUAGUCCACGCCGUAAACGUUGGGCGCUAGGUGUGGGGCUCAUUCCACGAGUUCCGUGCCGCAGCUAACGCA
rnacentral:rRNA from 1 species